UAACCCAAAACUCCGGUUAUCCAGAAUCAUAAAUAAACUCUUCUGGAAAAGCGAUUUCUGUCGGAGGGUGGAGAUUUUAACGCUUUCCAUUUAAAUUUAAAUUUGAAUACUUUCUGGGUGACAAUCUUUUUGAAAUACACUAUGUCAGGUAGAGUUUCCAGGACAGAAUUCAUCAGUUUCCAUCCGUCCCACGUUGUCAUUGUCUACGUCAAUUUUACCGUCCCGUGUUUUGGAUGGAGACGACAUGGGAUAUGGGGCUUGCGGUAAGACCGACUUGUCUCCCUGCUUUCCCGUGCAGUGAAUGCCUCCCACUCUGCCCCGAGGGUGGAGUGGGGGCUCCUGGCUCUGCCUUCAGACUCCCUUCUCACUCUCCUGAAAGAUGCAGACGUGCCCCUGGCCUGCCUCCAAUGCCUGUGACCCAUACAGGACAGGGGUGUGCCGUGUGCGUCUGGAGAGGUAGCGAUCCGAUUUGGAUCUUCGGGGGGGGGCCUUCUUCCAGGCUUGGGGACAUUGCAGAACUUUGGGGGAUGUGAGGGUGGAGGUCUCUGGGCCACCGAGCUUUCCCUUUCUUCUCUUGCACCGUUGUUAACCUUGUACUUCCCAGGGGGAAGACUGUUUGCCCUUAACGAGGGCAAGCUGAAAGUGGAAGAAUAAAGCCAGGACAUAAAGUGUUCCGGAUGUCCAACCUCUCACUUGUCUGUGUGGUGACGAGGGCAAACGCUGACAUGGGUCUCCUUCCGGGCCGCGUGACCCGCGCCACCAGUCCUCAUGUUGUCCCUGUCCGGCCACCGGGCCGUUGGGUACGCGUAGCCCUGCUGAGGUCUUUAGUGGAGAAGGAGUGAGAAACCGUAGUUUCUAUCCUGCUCUCGAAGUUAGACGUGGUAGGAGCGCUGCCUUUCCAAGCCUCGGGCCUCCCUUUCAAGAGUGAUGAGCCCGCGCGUGUUUUCUCGACCACCCUACGGCAGACCCCCGGCUUUCACGAGGGAAUCCGUGGGCGGUGAGGGAUGAAGCAAACCCUCGUGUCUGCAGAGUGGCUGCUCUGUGGCCUCUGAAUCUGCUUUAAAAUUGGGAAAGAGUAAAACAAAACAAAACAAAACAUAAUGCCUGGCGGUGAAUACCCAGCUGGACUACAAAUGAGCAAAGAGGGAGGGAAGGAGAAGGGGGUCCGGCCAAGUUUGGCCUCAGCUGCAGACCCCUCCUGGGGUCAGACUCGUCCUGGCAUCGACAGCAGGCUCUUUCUCCCAGCCUGCUUCUCCAGGAAGCUGCUUUCCCAGGCUCCCUCCACAGGGAGGAGCAUCUUGGGAGCCGCCCGGCAGUGGCGGGGUCCAGGGGAACCCUUCCUGGCCGCCUGGACCUCUGGGCGGGCGGCUCCCCGUCAAGGCCCCUGCUGGCCAUCACACCAGUCGCAAGGAGAUGAGCCGCUUUUUGUCAAGCUGCGGGGAUGUGGAUUUUGUUUAAAGGCGCUUUGUGUGAAAUCGAUUUUUGGUUUUCUCACGAAUGUUUGCUCAUGUCACAGGGCGUGCCCGGUGGCACAGAGGAGGCUUCUGAGGAACGAAUCACGGUUACAGCCAUUAAAGCGAGCUAACCUUGGGUCAAGACGUGUAAAUAAAUAUCCAGGCCCGUGGACUGGACCCAACCCUGAAAUGACGGAAUUGCAUAUAAAGGCUUCAUUCAAGCCUUUCAAACUGAGAUUGCAAAACCCUGCUUGCAGAGGAGCUAAGGGGAUCUGGUAAACAAAUCGGGGGGGGAGCGUCGUGGGCCCCGCUUUCGCUCGUUCCCUGAUCCCUGGCCUCAACGCGUUCCCGACUGACACCAAUAUCCAGGGUUUACAAUGAGGUGUUUGGGGGAAGGACAAAGAGGGUUGAUCGUGAUGAUAUUGGGGUCACGAACCUCUUUCUCAAGGGGAGGCUAAAAAGGGCUGUGCUGGUACUCGUCGUAGGCAGCCGUCUGUGUACGAAUUAGAGGGAAAUUGCGCCCCCUCGGUCCAUCCGGAGGUUGGGGGCGUGUCCAACUGUCCAGCUGUCCACUGACCCCAGUUGUGGGAGAUGCCAGGUUCCUGUCCACCACAGGUCGGCCGUGGUCCUUGCUUUACAAAGACCCCUCCCAGGUGUCAUCUGCUUGAGGUGCUUUGCUGGGGUGUUUCCUUCCACAAACCACCCCUCUCUGUUCAUUCUUAACUGUUUUGUUCACUCGACAACAGGAUUCUCACAGAGUUUGGUAAAUCUUAGAAAUUAAGAGUGCAAGUUCAAGGUUGGGCAGCUUUAGAAAGAGAGUAAAAAUGAAGAUUUUAAAGGUACUUUUGGUAAAGUAGCUAUGCUUAGAUUUGGGUCACAUUCUUUCUCUUUUCAUACCUUCAAGUUAAUCAUAAGAAUAAUUAUAAUGAUUUGUUUGUUUACUAAAAUGUUCUGAGAAUUUAGGAUUAAAUAUCCCAGAAAUAACUUUUUAAAGGUUAAUGGGGCAGGAGAGAAAUGGCUCUGAAACAAUGUUCUUUGAGUCUGAUGACAUAAAGUGUGCAUGUGAUUCAUCCAGGAAUGUCCCAGGAGUCGUACCGGGUUCUGAUCCAUUCCUGUGGACUCUGUGAAGCAGGAGCCUGACCCCACCUACAAAACCCUGUCCUGGUGCUGCGCUGAGAACCGGGAGGGCACGAAGGCACUUUGUGUAGGAAAUCUUAAAGCGUUCAGGGGCCCGAUCAGCUCUUUGGUGGAGGAGGUUGGGGGGCAGACGUGGAGUCAGCCCAAAGCACUGGCAAUAUUAAUAGCUAAGGAUUACAUCCUUAAAAUGAAAUGAGUAAAAGAGCUAAGAAUUUUCUGAUACAUUUUUUUUU